rnacentral:rRNA from 1 species
GUCGAACGAUGAAGCUGGAGCUUGCUCCGGUGGAUUAGUGGCGAACGGGUGAGUAACACGUGAGAAAUCUGCCCUUGACUCUGGGAUAACUGCGGGAAACUGUAGCUAAUACCGGAUACUUUCCUCGGUGGGCAUCCACUGGGGAAGAAAGAAUUUCGGUCAAGGAUGAUCUCGCGGCCUAUCAGCUAGUUGGUGAGGUAAUGGCUCACCAAGGCGACGACGGGUAGCCGGCCUGAGAGGGUGACCGGCCACACUGGAACUGAGACACGGUCCAGACUCCUACGGGAGGCAGCAGUGGGGAAUAUUGCACAAUGGGCGCAAGCCUGAUGCAGCAACGCCGCGUGAGGGAUGAAGGCCUUCGGGUUGUAAACCUCUUUUAGCAGGGAAGAAGCGAAAGUGACGGUACCUGCAGAAAAAGCACCGGCUAACUACGUGCCAGCAGCCGCGGUAAUACGUAGGGUGCAAGCGUUGUCCGGAAUUAUUGGGCGUAAAGAGCUCGUAGGCGGUUUGUCACGUCUGCUGUGAAAUUCCGAGGCUCAACCUCGGACUUGCAGUGGGUACGGGCAGGCUAGAGUGCGGUAGGGGAGAUGGGAAUUCCUGGUGUAGCGGUGGAAUGCGCAGAUAUCAGGAGGAACACCAAUGGCGAAGGCACAUCUCUGGGCCGUAACUGACGCUGAGGAGCGAAAGCGUGGGGAGCGAACAGGAUUAGAUACCCUGGUAGUCCACGCCGUAAACGGUGGGUGCUAGCUGUGGGCCACAUUCCACGUGGUCCGUGACGAAGUUAACACAUUAAGCACCCCGCCUGGGGAGUAUGGUCGCAAGGC